AGUGGCAUCAUCCUCAACCUUUUGUGGUUCAGAGACAUCAAGAAUAUAAGAGAACUUCUCCUGAGUGAGUAUAAUUUUUAAAUUUGUCUAUCAAUCCACAUAAUUGGGACCGAUCAACUUGUUGGAAUCUAAGAUUUCUCACAAUGGUACUGAAGAUACCAUUUGUAGAAUUUAAUUUACAAUGAAUAAAAAAUAUAACAUAAGCAAAUA
rnacentral:lncRNA from 1 species